CCCGCGCCAUUGCUACGAGCGGUCGGUGUUUGUUUAUACAAUUGAGUAUUUGAAUAAAAAAAAAUUAUUGAUUUUUUUCAUGUAUUUUAAAACUUUAUUAUUAAUAAUAUUGAUAUUUAAUGCAAAAAACUCAAAAAAAAAUGUUUUUCAAUUAAUUAUAAGCAAUAAACGCGCCAUGACUGGUCACCAUAGAUGUGACGUCAAAAUGUUAUAGUUGUAUACGUUUUUGUAUCAACUGCAAUGAGUGAAAACUAACAUUAUGACGUCACACGCGUCCGGGUGACGCUUCGGGAGUUGUUGGUAUGUUUUCGGUACUGGAUUCAAAGACUAAUUUUUAUUUUGAAAUAACUUUUGAAUUAUUGCAAAAAAAAUUUAAAAAAAUAGUUUUGUUAUAAAACUAAUAUAUAAUCUUUCCAUUUAGCACAAAAAAAAAAUUUUAUUCAAGUACUCAAUUGUAUGGUUACGGGCUGCACUGCAAAAUGUCUAAGCGUGCCAGAAGAAUUUAUUGUCAAGUAAAUGGUUGUUCAAACGACUCUAUUUCAAACCCAGAAAUGUCGUUCUUUACGAUACCCUCUGAACAAGAAAGACGUUUAAAAUGGCUUCAUCUCAUCGACCGCAAGGAAUUGAUAGGAAAAAAGAUAGAAUCUCAUCGUAUAUGUGAAGUUCAUUUUA